UCGGAUUGGAGUCUGCAACCCGACUCCAUGAAGCUGGAUUCGCUAGUAAUCGCGCAUCAGCCACGGCGCGGUGAAUACGUUCCCGGGCCUUGUACACACCGCCCGUCAAGCCAUGGAAGCCGGGAGUGCCUGAAGUGCGUGAGCGCAAGCAGCGCCCUAAGGUAAAACCGGUGACUGGGGCUAAGUCGUAACAAGGUAGC
rnacentral:rRNA from 1 species